GGGGACUGAGGAUUCAGUGUGUUAGUAGAACAGGUCUGUGAACUCAGCCCCAGGACCAGCUGGAUGAGGGGACUGAGGCUUCAGUGUGUUAGUAGAACAGGUCUGUGAACUCAGCCCCAGGACCAGCUGGAUGAGGGGACUGAGGCUUCAGUGUGUUAGUAGAACAGGUUUGUGAACUCAGCCCCAGGACCAGCUGGAUGAGGGGACUGAGGCUUCAGUGUGUUAGUAGAACAGGUUAGUGAACUCAGGACCAGCUGGAUGAGGGGACUGAGGCUUCAGUGUGUUAGUAGAACAGGUUAGUGAACUCAGGACCAGCUGGAUGAGGGGACUGAGGCUUCAGUGUGUUAGUAGAACAGGUUAGUGAACUCAGCCCCAGGACCAGCUGGAUGAGGGGACUGAGGCUUCAGUGUGUUAGUAGAACAGGUUAGUGAACUCAGCCCCAGGACCAGCUGGAUGAGAGGACUCUUUUCUUUGCUCAGCUCUUGGCAUUGCAGGGCUUGGUAAUGAUAUGAGAGGGGCUCACUGUAUUUUAGAUGUUUCCAAAACUGAAUUGCUCUUUUUUGAGUUUUUAUUAUUAGUGGAUAUUGGCCUAA